rnacentral:rRNA from 1 species
UACGUAGGGUGCGAGCGUUGUCCGGAAUUAUUGGGCGUAAAGAGCUCGUAGGCGGUGUGUCACGUCGGCCGUGAAAACCUGCAGCUUAACUGUGGGCGUGCGGUCGAUACGGGCAUCACUGGAGUUCGGCAGGGGAGACUGGAAUUCCUGGUGUAGCGGUGAAAUGCGUAGAUAUCUGAAGGAAUACCGGUGGCGAAGGCGGCAUCCUGGACCAUUACUGACGCUGAGGCGCGAAAGCUAGGGGAGCAAACGGG